AGGAUUCCCCUAGUAACGGCGAGUGAAGCGGGAAGAGCUCAAAUUUAAAAUCUGGCUUGCUUGCAAGUCCGAGUUGUAGUCUGAAGAAACGUUUUCCAUGAAAGCUGAGGCACAAGUCUUUUGGAACAAGGCAUCAUAGAGGGUGAGAAUCCCGUCCAUGGUYUCAUGCAUUUCAUUUUGUGAUACGUUUUCUAAGAGUCAGGUUGUUUGGGAAUGCAGCCUAAAAUGGGUGGUAAAUUUCAUCUAAAGCUAAAUAUUGGCGAGAGACCGAUAGCGAACAAGUACCGUGAGGGAAAGAUGAAAAGAACUUUGAAAAGAGAGUUAAAAAGUACGUGAAAUUGUUGAAAGGGAACCGUUUGAAGCCAGUCUUGCUUACUUGUGAUCAAUCUUAGCUUCGGYUUGGAUGCACUCUCGAGUUAUGCAGGUCAACGUCAGUUUGAGAGGUGGGAAAAAAGUUURAGGAAUGUGGCCUUCGGGUGUUAUAGCCUYUUACUAAAUACCAUCUCCUGGACUGAGGCUCGCAGCAAAAAUGUGGGUUGGUUUGCUCCUGAGGUGAAUCAUUAUUAAGACAGCUUGCUGACUUAGUUUUGUGGAUCUUCACGGUAGACCAGCUUCUAAUUUGCUUAGGUCGUUGACAUAAUGGCUUUAAAUGACCCGUCUUGAAACACGGACCAAGGAGUCUAACAUAUAUGCGAGUAUUUGGGUGUCAAACCCACAUGCGCAAUGAAAGUGAAAUUAGGUGCCAAACCCGCAAGGGUGGCAGCAUCGGCCGGCUCUAACGUUUCUAACUGACGAGUCUGAGCAGAAGCAUACAUGUUGGGACCCGAAAGAUGGUGAACUAUGCCUGAAUAGGGUGAAGCCAGAGGAAACUCUGGUGGAGGCUCGUAGSGAUUCUGACGUGCAAAUCGAUCGUCAAAUUUGGGUAUAGGGGCGAAAGACUAAU
rnacentral:rRNA from 1 species